GACGAACGCUGGCGGCGUGCUUAACACAUGCAAGUCGAACGCUGAACCCGCUUCGGUGGGGGAUGAGUGGCGAACGGGUGAGUAACACGUGGGCAACCUGCCCCCGGCUCUGGGAUAACUCCAAGAAAUUGGGGCUAAUACCGGAUGUGACCGCUGGCCGCAUGGUCUGGUGGUGGAAAGGGUUUCCGGCUGGGGAUGGGCCCGCGGCCUAUCAGCUUGUUGGUGGGGUAGUGGCCUACCAAGGCGACGACGGGUAGCCGGCCUGAGAGGGUGACCGGCCACAAUGGGACUGAGACACGGCCCAGGAUCCUACGGGAGGGCGCAGUGGGGAAUAUUGCGCAAUGGGCGGGAGCCUGACGCAGCGACGCCGGGUGGGGGAUGACGGCCUUCGGGUUGUAAACCUCUUUCAGCAGGGACGAAGCGCAAGUGACGGUACCUGCAGAAGAAGCACCGGCCAACUACGUG
rnacentral:rRNA from 1 species